GGAGGGCGGCGGAAGUGGAAAUGCGGGGCGGGGCCAGAUCCCCAGGCCGCGGCGGGAGCUGUAGUUCUCGUGCUGGUUGCUACUUCGGAUCUCUGCCGUCUGAGGGGGACGCCGGUUCGCUGUGUGCUGGCCCCGAGUCGCGUUGUCCCUGGAGGAUAGUGGAGAGCGACUGGGUCGUGGUCCUCCUGGCUUUCUUACCGUCACUUUUGUUCUUUACGUCCUGUCUCCGGUUUAGCACCGUGAGGUGCGGCAGGGGUUACUAUUACAGUUAGCCUUAUCAUCCCUCCGGCAUUUUGUGUGAUAAACACUCUGCAGCCACUUCUGCUGACCGAGACAAGUCAAUUUUUGGUCUUUGCGCCUUUGCUAAGAUCCUUUGCGGUGUCUCUCACGUGUGGCGUCUUAGCCGUGUGUGGAAGUCCUACCCGUUCAUAGAACUCGGUUCAGAAGCUCCUGUGACUCCUGGACUCAACCUUUUCAGCUGGAACCGUUCCGUCCUCCCAGUGCCCGCUGGCUGCUCGCACCUGGCUUUAGUCUGGUUUGUUUCUGCUUUGAUUCCUCGUUGCAUUUGCGUGUGCCUCCCAACGUCUCCUCGGAUGGCGACUGGAUUUUGAUUCCUCUUUGUGUUCACCAGAGCUAGAACAGCGUUUUGAAUCGAAUAAUAAUAGAAGCUGACACUGUGAGAAACCCGGCACUGUUGUACGUGUUUUAAACGAGUAUCAGUUCACUUCACCUUCACAACCAGCUUACUGAGGAAGGGAGAGGUUCAGACCUCUGAAGAAAGGAUGUGGUUCCUGCCACAGGAACAUGCAGCCCACUGAUGAGUUGCUUCUUUCUUUUGAACUUCUGGCCAUCAUGGUGUAACUGGGACUGGAUUUAUUUUCUCAUCUGAAACAACUGGAAAACGAAAAUAUAUGAAACAGCGGUUUUCAGAUACUGGACAACAGGCAGUACAGGACAGUGAUUCCUGAGAGAAGGAAAAUAAGUAGACAAAGGCUGAGAAGAAAUGGAUAAACAUUUGGGGAAAGGAUGAGGAGAAAUCAAAUACAAGGAGGAAAAAGGGAAGCAAGAGCAAGAAAAUACUUUUCACAAAACAAGAUACGAAGAGUAUUUGGGAUUUAAGACCAAAUGAAGAUUAUGAGUAUAAUUUCUCUAAGGAAGGAAUCCCAUUUUAUUGAAUUCUGUAUCAUAGCAUGGAAUAUAGUGCCUGACACACAGGAAGUAAUCAGGAAGUGUUUCUGGAAUGAAUCUUUUUGGUCCAAGGAGACACAAUGAUUGAUUUGCAACAAGUGUACUCUUCAAGUACAUUUGCAGUCAUGAUUUGCAAUGAACAAAGAAAAAAGGACUAGAACUAACAGGUAUGAAGCCUGAUACCAUCUUCACAUCAACAAUGACCAUGUUGGAGCUGGGUCGUUCCCCAGUAUAACUAUGAAGUCAAGGCAUAGGGACAAGGCAGUCAAACAAAAUUCUUUGGAAUUCAUUCAAGACAGAAGUCUCUCCUCUUUUAUUUCUACCGUUCCUUAUCCCUGGCUACCACUCAGCUUUGCCAUCUACUCUAUUUUCUUCUGCUAUAGUUGUUUGGAAAACUCAUUAUGAAUGCAUACUCUGCAGUUCAAAUGGAAUCCUUGAGACUUGUUCUCCCAUUUGUGGCAUCGCCUGAACCCUGGCAGUCUCACCUGGAGGUACACACAUCCCGACCCUGACACUGCCAUGCUGUACUCCCCUGGAACCUCUGGCAAAGCGACCUCCUGCAGCAAUAGGCGAUUGCCUUCAUCUACUUGGAAUUCUUCAGAGAAGGUCUCUGAAGACUUGAUGGUGACUGUAGCCGCUUUCUCCCUUUUAGUGAAAGUUGCUGCUCCAUACUUGGAGAGCGCUUGGAGAGCUACCACUGUAUCCUGAAAAAAGAUGGGUUCAGAAAGCACAGGAGAGGAAGACACAGUGAGAUUCUUCAUUCUUUUCUACUGGGAUGGCCAAGAAGGCAGGAGAGACCUCCAGCUGCACGCUGACCUGUCCCCCAUUCCCACCCACAAAUUUGAGAAAGAACACAGGGAAAAGGAAGAAGAAUUACCUCAAAGAUACUGUAAACAUCAUCAUCACUCAGGACCUGCUUUGGUGUGUAAAUGAUUCCAUUAGUUUUGACUGGUUUGGCCAGUAGAAAUUCAUCGGAGGGAUACUGACCAUGAAGGAGCUGCAGUAGAAGGAGUGCUUCGCCCCCAGGUCUGUGAGGAGAUUCCUGCUCUGCAUCUCAUACUCCAGAGUUACUGUCAGUUCCACUGUCUCAUUCAGGUGAUUAAGCACGACACAGGCCUUCUCGGUAACCCCAGCAUACAGCUGUGAUGGGACCAGGACCAGAUGAUCUUUGCUAUCGUCACCAAUCAGACAGCAGAGCCAGAUUUCAACAGGAGUGGAGAGGAGUAUAUUCUUCAAAGACCAAUCCAGAAGGCCUUAGAAACUCAGAAAGCCCCUGCCAAGUUAAACAUCAGUAUGCUUCUCCUAUACUGUGGAAAUAUUCACUCUCGAUACUAGUAAACCUAUUCAUAAGUUAUGGAUAAGCACUCCAUGAGUUGUUAUAUAUUUUGUAUAGAAAUAAUUUUCAAAUUUAGAAAUUUUCAAUGAAUCAAGUAAAUGUGAUCAUACACACGCAUGCGCACGCACACACGCACAGACACAAAUAUUAUUCAGAAACCCUGCUGUUCAUGACAACAUGAAUGGGCCUUGAGGGCAUUAUGCUAAGUGAAAUGAACCAGAUAGAGAAAGACAAAUACUGAUGGUAUCUCUUACAGCAUGCGGAGUCUUUAAAAAAAAGUCAAACUCAGAGACAUAGAGUAGAAAAAUGGUUACCAGGGAAUGGGAGAUGGAGGAAAAUAGGGAUAGGUUAGUAAAAGGACACAAACUUUCAUUUAUAAGUUGAAUAAGUUCUGUCUGAGGAUGUACUAUAUAACAUGGUGACUAUAGUUGAUAACAUUGUAUAAUUGAAAUUAUAUAAUUGAAAUUUGCUAUGAGAACAGAACUUAAGUGUUCUCACCCCCCCAAAUAAAUAUUUGAGAGAUAGAUGUGUUAUUCGUUAGAUUAAUCUAUGUGAUAGAUUAAUUAAACUCAAUGGGGAGAAUCCUUUCACAAUAUAUAUGUGUGUACACUUUAAAUCUCUUACAAGUUUAAUUCUCAGUUAUAUGUAAAUAAACCCCAAAAAAACUUUAAAUUUUUUUUAGUAACAAACAAUAUUAUUAAUCAGUUAAUGAUCAUUGAAACCAGUAAGAAAACCUAUCCACAUGUGGUCUUGGGUUUCAAUGGAUGAUAUCACAAACCUCUUUGUUCCAGGAAACAUUGAGAGAGAACGAUAAUACGUGGAGAGGAGCUGAAUCGUUUUUCACUACUGUUUCAGAAGCAACCUUAGCUCUUUUCUUUCUUCCACUCUCUAGAGAGAAGAAAAACUAGGCUAAUCAUCAGACAUAUUACCAUAUACAUGCAGAAGAAAAUAUUCUCCUGUUGCGGUUUGCCCAUCGUUUACAAUCACCUAAAUGUGCUGCACUUUGUGAUGUUCUGCUGGCCCAUGACUCUCUCUCUUUCUGAAGUGUCCUGGUCUAGCUGGAAAACUUCUAUUGGCUUCAUAAGACUCAUCUCAAAAGCAACUUUCUUAUGUGGACUUUGGUGAUGCCUCUUCCCUUGUAUCAGUUCCCAUGAAGAGUUAGGUUAUCUCUGAGUAUUCUCACAGAAUCCUACAAUGCCUGGUUCUGUUUUUGCAUUUUAUUUCAUUCGCUGUGCACCAUCUCUCUCUCUCUCUCUCUUUUAUACUAUGAGGUACUAAGGGCAGGGGCCACAUUUUGUUAAUCUGUAUAUUCUCAAAUCUAAUGCCAGCCCUUAAAGUUUUGCUGAAGGAUUGAGUGAAAUGACACACAAACCCUGGCUUGUCUGUAAGUCAUGCAUCCAUCUUGGGAAUACCUGCUUGGGGAAGAUACAGACACUGAGUCACUUUACAAUGGCCAAGACACUGCAGCCUUUUGCACCAGUCAAAAAAGAAUUUAUCUUUUUUUGGUAGGAAUUCUAUAUUCUUAUUUGAUGAAUGUUGCAGAAUUCUAUCAUCUUAUUUGGUAAAUGUUUCACAAAUGUUACUACCCUAUAUCGCUGAGUUUUCUAGAACUGGAGUAUGCCUUUUACCACCUGUGCACUAACAAUUUAUCAACACUUCUGAGCUUUUUCAACAACAGAUAAUUUCAGAAGGAAUCAGGAAAUAAAUAAAAAGACAGACAUCAAGAAGCUGAUAACACAAUGGGAAGAGGAGGGCAAUAGACUUUUCUGGAAAUGUUGCUUACGGUUUGGAGGUAGCUGAAGCAUCUCUGGGAAGGAGCAAGGAAAGCAGAAUCAAGACUGGAUUAGGCAGCUGACAUCCCCUCAUGGUGUAGAGAAGAAUAGGAAAGAAUGGGGCUCUUGAGUCCUUGAUUCCUUGAACUCUGUCCUUGUUCCAGAAUCACUGGUUUUUAUUUUGCCUAAUGGGCAGUAAAAGUAAAUGGCUAACCAUUUAUUUUUGUAACAUAUUAACUACUUCCAGUAUAAAAAAAUCAAUUGCAGAUCACGUUCAUCCACUUGCUCAAAUUUUCUAAGUGCCUGAAAAAUAGUAUGUUGAGGCUACAUUAGCUCUGGUUAUUAAUCAACACGUUAAAUAUCUUUAAGAAAAAACAAAGUAAAUGACAUGAUUUGAUGAAAUCAAUCAAUACUCUUGAUCUUUUUCUUUUUUAACAAGAGCUAUUUAUGUAAAUACAUAUCCCAAAUCUCUUCUUGGUAGACCAGGGAGCAUCACAUAUUCUCCCAAGCUUCAUCCAAUACAGUUAUUUAAUGAAACAAAGAAAUAAAAUUUAUCACAGAUUUUAAACAAAGUAUGAAGAUAAUCUCUCCUUUGUUUAAAAGCUUAGCUUUUGCUUUUUACAACUAUCCUUAUAUUUGUUUGUUUAUAAAGAAAAUGAACCCAUGUAAUGCAUUUUUAUAGUUUCUUAGUUCAUUUAACAUCAGAAUAUAAAGUCAAUAAAUUUAUUUUAUCCUCUAAGGAAAUAAUAUUUAUGUGAUGAACAUUCUUAUUUAUUUUACUGUGAGAAAUAUAAACAUUUUAUCAAUAGUGAUCAUCAUCCUAUUUGCUUUUCUAAGGAGAUGGGAUGUUAGAAUCACUAUUGAUAAAAUGUUGGUUUAAACUAUAAAAUGCAAUAUGAGGAGAAACAAGCACUCCCCUGGAUGAGGUAUAUUUGGUUCUUGACAUACAUUUUUGUAUAUGAUCUGAAAGAGUGAGAAAUGAAGAUACCGUACAUGACAGUCCUUAGUGAACUAUAAAACUACAGAUUUGUAAGAUAUUAAAAUUCACUAUUUACACUAUUUACAAUAGCCAGGACAUGGAAGCAACCUAAAUGUCCA